rnacentral:lncRNA from 1 species
UUUGUCAUGGUUUUAUGAUUUUCGGUCAUUGGUACUCCAAAUCAUAACAUCGUGUAGUGAAUGAACCUGGUUCUCAGAAGAGAAGGACUACUACAGUCCCCAUGGUACUUUGCUCCUCUGUUACCAUUUCCAGCCGGAGGGAAAAGAUAAAAGCUCACAGUAUAAAAACUUGCAGGUCACAAGACCUCGCCCCUUUUUCCACCCGUCUCUCGUUUUGGCAGCACCUCGCUCUCCAGCCGUCUUAUCGUCGGUAGUAGAGUAAGGCCUACCUUGAUUUUGGGACAUUCUCUCUCUCUGUAUUGGAUUUNGAGGCUCGCUUCCCUGGAGGCAUACAGGUCUCCCUCAGCCACCCGUCUCCAGCUGGUGGGGACCUUGGGUGCUGGCAGGCAGCGGCUAGGCAGCAGGCUAGGUCCGCCUGCUGUGGAGCUGCUGCAUCCUGCGGUGCCUCUGUGGGAAAUGUGGGAGUGGUGGGGCCAGCGUCUGGCAGCUGUGUCUGUCUCGGGGCUGGGCGGAAGAGCUCUCGCGUGCCCCUUGCCCACUUUGACAGCGUCUCUCUGGGACUUGCAGGACUUGCUGAAGGAGUAUUACUUGGGCACCCCUGUAUCCCCAGUGCCCCUCCACGUGGUUCUGGCCCUGGAGCAGUUGAGCAAGCUGAAGCCCUCUUUUGGAAGCGAGGACAUGCAUGACAUCCUGACUCUGUGCUGGAAGAUCACUGUGACGCACCCUUCAGCGGAGAUGAUGCUGAAGAUCAGCAAGUCACAGCAAGCAGCUCGGUACCUGCAGCUUCUGAAAACAACUGUGAGAGCUCUGGGCCGGCUGAUGGCAGUCCUGCUCGAGACAGAGCACAGGCAUGGCUUCUUCCAGAACAUAGUCCAUGUGAGUAUGUGUGGGGCGAGGGAGAAAGCGUCGCUCCUGCCGAGAGCGGGGACAGAGCUCCGGGGCCAGAGAGGACGAUCAGAGGGGGAGAAAUCUCCUGCUGACGUGGCAGCUCACUGCGAGCUGAGAAACGGGCAGAGAAAUGGGCCCUGCAGGGGGAAAGGCAGGAGCCAGCCCCUGGCAGGCCGCAGCUGAGAACAAGCUCCUGGGUUAGGAGGCAGGUGUGUCUGCAGAGAGCGGGGGCAGCAGUGCCGCUGCUCGCGGAGGCGGGGGGCCGCGUGGAGCCACAGGGCAGGCCCUGAGGGAAAGAAAGAAAGAAA